UAUGAGUAGAACAAAUGGGGGCAAACCCUAGC
rnacentral:piRNA from 1 species